CAGUAGCCGCGGUAAUACGUAGGGUGCAAGCGUUAAUCGGAAUUACUGGGCGUAAAGCGUGCGCAGGCGGUUCUAUAAGACAGAUGUGAAAUCCCCGGGCUCAACCUGGGAACUGCAUUUGUGACUGUAGAGCUGGAGUGCGGCAGAGGGGGAUGGAAUUCCGCGUGUAGCAGUGAAAUGCGUAGAUAUGCGGAGGAACACCGAUGGCGAAGGUAAUCCCCUGGGCCUGCACUGACGCUCAUGCACGAAAGCGUGGGGAGCAAACAGGAUUAGAUACCCCCGUAGUCCCUGUCUCUUAUAC
rnacentral:rRNA from 1 species